GACCCCAGCGCCCUGAGGCCCCCUGGCUGCCGUUGGAAGGCGUUGGCCACUCUCCUCCUGGCUUCCUGCCGUUAGGUUGGGUUCGCUGCUUGAGGAUCACGUGUUGCUCCUGCAGGCCCACGGGGAGGCUCAGCGGAGUUGCAGAGCCCCAAACCUGAACUGUUGCCAAGACCUUGAACCAUAUAUUCUUGUGGUGACAGUGGCCUUAGGGGAAAAAAUUCUCUCUCCGGGUUGACUAGGUCAGAGCGGCGCAAGCCUUCUUAAAUAAUGCAACUGACCUAUGUGGUGGCCUUUGGAGGGACCACGGGUAACUUUCAAACCCUGUCAUGGGAAGGGGGUGGAUUACAGAAUGGAUGUUAAAUUGGGUGACAUUUGUAGUUACACCCAUAAAUACUGAGUUCGAGCUGCCAACUAGGCAGAUAACUUCUCUUUAGGUCAGGCUGAGGAUUUUUAGCCAGCUUCUCUGCAAGAGGGAAGCAGACAUGUUUCCUGCUCUUUUGAGUGAUGUCUGUGAGACACUAGUAGUCGUUUUAGUAAAGCCUGCAGCCAAGUCACCGACUCAGCCUCUCCACCCAGCUCACAGAUUCCUGUCACCACCAGAGAAGCCUAGGGGUUACUACCAUCCAGGAUAUAACCUGUUUUCCUUCUGUUCCUUUCUUUUCCCUAUCAAAACCCUCUCAUUCAUCUCUUAUGGUAAAACCACGUACCCCUCACUGCCCACCGCUUCUCACUAGACAGGGGGAAAACUAACAAAAUUACUUUUAAAUCAUUUUGAUGUCAUUGGAGAAGUCACUUAACAGUUAGGUGUGCUGUUAGGUCCAAGGGAUUAAACAAAGGAUUAUUGCCCUAAGUGAGUUCCCUCCCUAAUGCAGACAUUCUGACUGGUAAGGUUAAGUAGGGUGUGUGAGCUGCAUAGGGCUCCAAUAUUUGUCUGUUAAUGCGGCAAAUAUUUUUGGUGGUCCUGAUUUGGAACCCUGAGAUAUUAGGUUGAAUCUAGAUGUGGGCUCCCCAGAGUUGCUGGGCAUUGUGGGAUUGGAGGGGGGGGGGGGUUGUUUCUUGAAGCCAGAACCUCUGUAAUGAAAUAGAUACCAACUGGAGUAGUAAGAAAGGUGGGGGAACUCUUAAACCCUGCUUUAAAAUAGGCUAAACCUAUAUGUGAAUGUUCACAUUCAUAGUAGUGGUAACUAGAGAAGACUUAACGCAGUCCUCAGCGACCCAGAGGAAAAGAGGUCAUGACAUCAUUGGAUAGUCACUUCUGAUCUCAGGGACACAUGUGGACUCAGAAGAAAAUCACUUCUUCCUUUCUCCUCAAUUAGCACCCUGUCUCUGUGAGGGGCCUGGAAAAUAGAGAUGAUAUUGAAGGUAACUAAAAAGCAGUCCAGAUGUAAUUUUAAGAGCUGUUAAGAAUUUGGGAUCCAAUCUUGAGACUGAAUACCCUUCGGUAUGCAAGGUCUGGAGAGGGGUAUCAGAGUUGCUGGAGUCCUGGGUGGAGGGUGUUAUGUGAUAUUGUUAGGCAGGUAGUCACUGUAAAUGGCAUCUCCAUGGUCUGCUUAGAUGUUCUUCCUAAUCGGAAGGAUACUGGAUGUAUGAUCAGUUGUACGUCCAUGUUCUAAAAUGGAAAAGUCUUGUUUGGUGAUUUGCUUCUUUUGUCUCUUAGCUCUCCCCUCUGUGUAAUCAUCACUGAAGUGCCUAAAGUUAGCAUGAGCUGUUUGUUCCACACUGAAAACCUGCCAUCUGUGGUGCUGGGCUGGGUGGUCAAGAGUGCUGGAUUCUGGUGGGAACCUGCAGUUGAAUUCCUAAGUAUCCUAAGUUCUGUCCCUUCCUCCAACUGUGAGAUCAUCUGAUGAGGCCAAAAGCCUCUGAAACCCAAAUUAGAGCUGGCAAGAGGGAGCUUGCUGAGGUAUCAGCCCUGCCAGAGACGGGAAAAUGGGGCAGGGACUUGAAGCACUGGUGGUGGGGUGGAGCAAGGUUUCUUCCCCAGUUUCUGGGUGCUGGUUGGGGCCUUUGCUGUCUCUUGAAAAGAGGACCCGGUGCUGCCUCUUUGGAGCAGAGUGCUGAAAGACAAAAGGCCGGUUGUUCCCAUGUCACGUGAGGAUGCACACUGUUGAAAGUGUCAGUUCCUCUGUUGAUGGUAACUGGAAGAACUUUUGGGGUGACUUUGAAGGAGCCAGAGAAUAGGUUAGAAAACACAGGAAGAGAAAUUUCUCAUCCCUCGGCAUAAGGCAAGAGGGAAAGGGAAUUAACUACUUCUAUUUACUGGACCUAUGGGCCUUGCCUUUUUGGAUAGCACAUGAUACUCUUCUUCUUAGCUUUCUACUUAGGCAGAAACUCUGUGAAAGAUAAGUUAACAUUGAGGAAAGGGCACAAACUUAGAAGAAAGAAGGCUGUGGCAGAAGCAAGAAAACCAGAAGCAAAACCUCCUUCCCUCUGUGUGUGUUUCCUUCUUUCUUCCCUCCUUUCCUUCCUAAAAACACGGGAGUGUCUACUGCAUGCCAAGUUCUAGCUAGGUACUGAGGAUAAACGAUGAGCAAGACUCAUUCCUGGCUCCAGAAGAGCUCAUAUGUAGUGGGGAGAUAAUGUCAUGGCUGACUGUAGGGCGUGGGGGUGAGAAGUGGCUUUCUGAGGACUGCCUUUUCUGUGUAUGUAAGGAGGGGGCUAAGAAAACAAGAGACCCCUAGAGUGGGUUCUGAAGUUACCUUUGUAAUUGCUACAGGGCUGAGGGUGGAGGACCAGGCGACACACAUAUACAGAGGAUUCAUACUGUCCUUGUGGCUUCUUUUUGGAUGGUAGCUGGGGUGGUGGUAAGAGGGACUGAAUGGGAGUCUGAAGUGAAUCAGGGAUACCAUGCUUCCUGUGUCCCCCGUGCCACACUCAGAGGCACAGUGGCAGGGGUAAUGUUAUCAGCUCUCCCCUCGCUGAAGUAACUGUGUGCUGCUGUGAGUUGUCCGGCUGCAAUUCACCUUGAGUCCUUCCUUGGUCAUCAUGCUAUGUGCACAAGGGAGAGCAAGGAAGUUGAGAGAUCUGAAAAAUACGAAACGAGGAAGAAAGAAGAAACACCCUUGUCCCAAAAUAACAGCGGCAAACCUGAAGAAAAACAUUUUGGUGUCCUGUUUUUAGGUCCCGGAUGUCCAGGAAGCCCAAGGACCAGAGAGAAAAUAAUGCUCUGAUUGGAGAAUCUUCGACUGACGUUUAAGGGCAGGUUAAGGGCCUCUGCUGAGGCUGGGGGAGAAACGAACAAAAAGCUCCUAGGUUUUCACCCUUUGAUGAGAGAACCUCUGUGGGGGGAAGUGCUUUUGUGCAGGGAUUUAAAAACUUCCAUAUUCUUAACAGGUGCAAGGUACAGAGAGUUCCCAGAAUGUAGGUCUCCUGAGGGAGUCGUGUUUGUUGUAAAUCUAGGUUUGCUUUGCAAAUCAGGCAUUGAAGAGUAGCUGUAAGUUUCCAGAGUUUGGGGAUGUCACCAGAUUGGUAGGUCCUAACUGGACCUGGGAGACCUUUCCUACAUGGUUUAUUUUGAAAGUAUUCACUGCUGUUAAAGCUAAUUGGAGGAGGGACUUAAGGUUGCCUGGCCACAGCCUGAAAGAACCUGGAAUUAAGGCAGUAUCUGGAUAGAUACUCCAACCCAUAGACACAAAGCCAGGUGAAGGGCAUUGACUCUUAGUGCUGUCAUUUGGCCAGAUGUUUUGAAGAGUGUUUGGGGUACUAAGGUCCAGUAAUGACGGCCAGUGCUUUAAGUUGGGUAGAUAUCUUUACUAAACCACAGUGCCAUAUUUUUCUCAGUUGACAUGGGCCAUUGAAAGCUUUCACAAGAUUGCCACAGUCCUUGGACAGCAUUUGAUUGCCACUGAUCUAGCUCAGCUCUACAGCCUUACCAACAAGGGCAAGUCAAUAGCUUUCCCAUCUUUGCUUCUUUGAGCAGAUGGCCAAGAAAGGAGUUCUGCAUCAUCAGGAAUAUGGCCUGAAACUUUGCGGAGGUUCUGAAAUUUCUAGCUUACGGAUUGCUUAGGGGUUCUCACCCUGCUUCCCCCAUAGGAGGUAUUUCUCUAUGGCUAUUGAGCAAAUUUCCCAGCGUCUUAAUCUUUUAUAAAGUUUGGAAGUUUGUUUUCUGGCUCUCAUAUUUCCCUUUUGGUGUGUGUAUUGCGUUUUCUCAGAUGAUUUUGGCUCUUCUUCCAACUGACUUUCAGCUGUUCUUUGGGAAAAAGGCCAGACAAUUGACUACAUUGAAAAAAACAAACAAAACUAAACAAAACCCCCAAAACCUGUGUGUUUUACCACUUCUGGCAUCUGGGUUUGUUUUGUUUUCCUUUAAAUGGUGGUUAGUUUCUGUACCCAAAGGCCUGUACUUCUAAUGGCAUACUUUAUGGUAUCCUUGCCUGGGAAUAAUGCGCGAUGGGCUACAAUCUGUAGUCUCUCAUGGUCCCCUCAUGCUUGUUUACUUUUUAAAAACCCUUGUUGAGGGGCCCCUGGGUGGCUGAGUCGGUUAAGCAUCCGACUUCAGGUCAUGAUCUCACUGUUCAUGGAUUCAAGCCCCACGUCGGGCUCUGUGCCGACAGCUUGGAGCCUGGAGCCUGCUUCGGAUUCUGUGUCUCCCUCUCUCUCUGCCCCUCCCCUUCUCACACACACACACUCUCUCUCUCUCUCUCAAAAAUAAAUAAAACAUUUACAAAAAUUAAAAAAUAAAAACCUUGUUGAAACCGCUUGCCAUUGAAUUCCCCUUGGGUAGCCAGGAAGGACCCCAAUUUCAAAACUGAAAAUAUUAGAUGUGAAGAUGUUUUGAACAAGGAACAAAAAGCCUGUAUUUUAGUGCCGGCACUGCCAUUAUUAUCCAUGUGAACUCUGGCAAAUCUCCAGAUUUCUUUGGGUUGCGGUUUCCUCAUAGGUAAAAUUGGGAUAUUAAUACCUACCUCACAGGGUUGUCAUGAGGAUUAAAUGUGCUCUGUAAACUGUUGUGCUAUACAAAUAUUUGCGAAUUUUUGUUAUGAUUUAAGAGCCAUUUGAAAGUAUUCCAUGACCACAUAGCAGACAUGCUAAUAUUUGUACUAUCUGAUCAAGGGUUUUCAUGGUCAUAUACUGCAUAUUUAAAUUGCUGGAACAAAAUUUUAUGUUUCUGUAUAAAUGUUUUUGUGUGGAGAGGUCCCAUAGUUUUCACUGGUUUUCUAAAGGGGGUCCAUUAUCCCAAAAAAGUAAAAGACAGUGCUUUAGAAUUGAAAAGUGGAAUUCAGGAAUGGAAAUAAGUGUAUUGCUUCCAUAACCCUCCACUUAACACAUCUGCAGUAGAAGUUGCAAUGCUUUUUGGAUAGCGAAAUUGCUAAUGUGGCCUGGUGACUGACUGUACAGAACAUUUGAAAUUGGGACAGAAAAUCUUGGCCAUAUGGUCAUGGUAGCCAUUAGGUUAUCCAAUUGCCUGCCGUGUGAAGGUGGAGGUAAAACGAACUAUUAGCUAUGUGGCCCUGAGAAAGUCACCUUACCUAGUGGAGUCUGCUACCUCAUUUGUAAAGUGAAGGAUUUGACUUAAAGAUUUCCAAAGUUCCUAGUUUGAAUUCCCUAGGGAAGUGAGAUCAAAGCUGGACUUGGAUGGAGCCCUUUGCGGCAGAAAUGAAUGAGGCUUUGUGUAAGAGGAGAAAGGAGGAGUGUCAGGGAGACGAGGAGGGGCAGAGCAUGCAAGGAGCCCCAUUCUUGAUAAAGCUGGGAAGCAAGCCUGCUGAAGGGAAGAGCCAGAGUAAGGGGGGCAGAAAGAGAGCUGGUGGGCUACUCCUGAAGAUCCAAGACUCUGGUGGACCAGAGACUCAACCUCCACAUUUCACCCUGGGUCUGACUUGCCAGAACACAGGUGAUCCUCAGUGAGCAAAUCCUCUGCACUCACAGAACUUGAAGUUCUCUCAGGAGCAAAUGCCUGGAGUCUUCCCUCUUCCCACAUCAGGUGGUUUGGCUACUUCAGGAAAAUGCUGCCCUCCAAAUGCCUCAAGGCACAAGUUCUGAAAUUGCCCCCCCCCCCACGCCCCUUCCCUCUAUUCCAUUGGGUUGGGAAGCCAUUGCUGACAGACGGAUCGGACAAAGUACAAUUUAGCCACUGUUACAGGUUCAGAAGAUAUGUUGAAGAUCUAACCUCAGGUAUCUCAGAAUGUGAGUAUAUUUGGGAAUAAGAUCUUUGUAGAUGUAAGGAGUUAAGAUAGGGUCACACCAGAAUAGGGUGGGCCCUUUAUACAAUAGAAUUGGUGUCCUUAUAAGAGGAGGAGAGACACAGAGACGCAGACACAGGAGAGAACGCCAUGUGAUGACGAGGCAGACAUUGGUACGCUGUAGCUGCAGGACAAGGACCUCCAAGGACCAGAAUUUAGGAAGUGGCAAGGAGGGAGUCUCCGUUGCAGGUUUCAGAGGGAGCAUGGUGCUGCUGACACCUUCAUGUUAGACUUCUAGCCUUCAAGGUCAUAAGACUAUAAAGUUCUGUUGUAAGCCCCCUGACUUGUGGUACUUUGCUACCCUAGGAAACUACAGUAGUCAAUAGUAGGCAACAGCCCUAGGAAAUAAAUGUAGCUAUUAUCACAAAACCUUUAACUAGAUUGCUCUGGUAUUCUGUCUUGCAGUCAUAAUCUGCCCUGUAACUGCUUAGAGAGAUCAUCGAUUCAGAUCUUCUGGUGAAAAGUAUUACUGUAGCUCUAGUAAAUAGUCAACGUAUGGACAUGAUUUAGGAGCUGAGAGGUCCAUUUCUAGUUUAGUGAGGCUGAAGGAAAGCUAACAGAGUAGCCGGGGACCUGGGAAGUCACUGUCUGGAUUUGGCUGGGGGCCAGGAGGGGCUUCCUUGUGGGACCCUAUGUGGCUAUUCUGUAGAGUUCAUGGAUUCUGAGAAGGAAGCCCAAGAAAGGAAUUUGAAGAUUACCUGGUAUCAUUGACUGUCCUGUGUCAUGUGGAGAAAACAAAAUCUGCCUUAAGCUCUUUACCCAAGGGCCAGCUGGUAAAUAGUAGAGACAGGCCCGGAGUCCUAAGCAUCCUCAGAUGUGGGUCGGUGUUCGUGCCCCAGCUCUGGACUCCCUUGUAGGCCUGACAAAACAUGGUGCAAAGUCAUGAAGAAACUCUGAGAAAGCUCCACACUGACUUCUCAGAACUAGUAAGGGCCGCAGACUGGGCUUUGGGGACAGGUCCACCAAUUUGUUGGAGCCUCAAGUAACUUCUGAAGGCAAUGGUAACAUCACAGACUUUAGGCUCACGUAUCAGAUAAUAGCGUUUAGAUCCUACCUCUGUGGUUACAGACCAAGUAAUGUUAGGAGGCAUUACUGAAACUCUCUCAGCGAGAAUUUACCUCUAAAAGCUAGGUAAUUGUAAGCCUGCAAGAUUGAUGAAGGGUCAGAUAAGGGACUUUUUGCAAGGGCUUGGGCCAGAAUAGGUGCCCACCAAAAGGAGAUGUCUUUCUUCCUCAUUUUGUUCCUUUCAAGUUCUCGUCUGGGUCUGAAAAUUUUCACCUGAUAUAAUAAAAAUGAGUAUAGCAACAAAAUUCAGUUGCUACCUUUACUACUAUGACUACUACCAUAAAAUAGGUAAGAGUUACUGAGUAGAUGCCAGACAAUGUCUCAUAAUGGCUUUACAUGGAUUAUUAAUCAGCAUAACCCCAGGAUAUAGUUACAAUUGUUAACCUCACUCUAUAGAUGACAAAACUGAGGCUUACAUAAAUUAAGAAACCUUCCCAGGCUCACAGAGCCAGAUAGUGAUGGAGGUGGACCCAGACAGGCCGUGACUAAUAGGAAAAAUCAAAAUGAGCAUCAUUUAGUCUCCUGUAUCCAUCAGGAAAUUAGAGGAGAGUCAUGUUGCAAGGCAGGAGGACCAGAGGCUGUUUACAUCUGAUUCUUUACAGUUACCAAAGUCUGUCCAUUUAUUGCAUUUGCUGAGUUAUCGGCAGCCUUAAACGACUUGUGGCUUUCAAAUAAGAGCCAGAAGGUGAAGUGUAGCCCAGAUAAGAUAACCCAGUAAUUUGAGAUAAUAUGUAAAAUGUUAAUGUUUUCAAGGAUUAGUGGCUGCUGUACUCAGAUCCAUGACCAGACAGACAAUAUGGUUUAUACAUCUACAUGAUCGUGGAAUCCAACUUGUAAGAUCUCUACCUCAGGAUUGUCCCCGCUAUUUGAACACACUCAACGAUAAGGAGCAUACUAUCUCUUAAGGAAGCGCUCCUUACCUUUAGGGAAUGCUAACUAAAGAUUCUGCCCAUUGGUGGAUGAAAAGCCUAAAUAUGAAUAAGCAAAACUUUUAAAACAUCAGAAGAAAAUUAAGAAAAAUAUCUUUAUGACCUAGGGGCAGGGAAUUAUUUCUUGAGCAAAAUCACAAAGGAAAAAGUUGAUAUAUCCGAUUACAUUCAAUUUUUAAAACUCCCGGGGCACCUGGAUGGCUCAGUCCGUUAAGCCUCUGACUCCUAAUUUUGGCUCAGGUCAUUGUCUCACAGUUCACAAGUUCGAGCCCCAUGUCCGGCUCUGCACUGACAGCGUGGAGCUUGCUUGGGGUUUCUUUCUCCCUCUCUCUGUCCCUACCUGUUAUCUCUCUCUCUCUCUCUCUC